rnacentral:sRNA from 1 species
AAGAGCCACCUAGUGGAGCACAGUGGAACUGCGUGGCUGGGACCAAGGAAUUUGCUGUACACCGGUGGAUACCCUAAAAGGAUUCUACACCCUACCGCAGAGAUACUGCUCAUUCCAUUUUCACGGCUGCUCAUGUCACAAUAGCAAGGAAAGAAUCAUUCUAGAUGUCCACCAGCAGUUAAAAGGAUAAUUAAUUAAGCUGCAAUAUGGAAGAUUUUAAGCCAUGAGGGGGAAAAAAUGAAUCAGGACAUUUGCAGCAGGUAGAAGAAAAUGGAAAACAUUACAGAAAGUGAGGCUCUCAUACUCAAUUUUGUGACAUGGGCCCUGGAGGGACUUGUCAGAGAACAGAAGAGCUCCUUGUGGAGGAACGUCCUGCCUGUUUGCCACUUGGAGGGCGUCUUAGCCUCCCUCAGUCGGACAGCUGCCUCCUCUACCAGGAUCUCCUAAACUACCAGGAUCAGGAGAGAAGGAACUGGAAGGGCAGCUGAGGGAGAAGACCAUGGCUUCUCUUCCAAGCUCCCAUACAGCAGACUUAUCUGUCUCCCCUGUCUUCUUAAGCUUUGAAUUAUUAUUCCAUGUUUAUAGAAGAAAAGGUCAGUUUAUGACCUGCAGUCGAGUUCAGCCCAAUUAGCUGAGCAAGCCUCUCCUGGAGACUAGGGCCGUCUGGGAUGUUCACAGAACCAGCCUGUCACCCCUGUAGCCUUCUCUGGACACAAAGGUCAGUGGCAUUUGCCAAAGGCUUCCCUGUGGGCUUGCUGGCAGGACUCCCAAUCCCCAGCAUCCCUGGAAGCUCACAAAACCAUGCUUUGUUGAGUUUUAAUUAUUUGCCGUGUCUCAGUUGUGGGACAGGUAGAGCCUCCAGUCCACUCUUCAUAGCCCACCAACCUGUCCGCCUGGUGCUGGGGACAGCGCCUGUUUGUAUGCAUUUCUCUGAAGUUCAUAUGUCAAAUGAACCAGUUUUUAAAACCAGGACUUUAAAGAGAUGAGCCAGAUCAAGCAAGUCUUCAAGCUGGGUCCAAUAAUAUGGCUGGUGUCUUUGUGCAAGAGGAGACUGAGAUACAGACAUGCCCAGAGUAACAAGGCUGGCAUGGGAAGAUGAUGUCUGAUGCCUUGACCUCAGCAUCAUAAGACAGUAAAUUCCAGUUGUUUGUCCUCCUGACUGUAGUCUCCUAUUGCAGCCUCCCAAACUGACAAGACCCUCUGACCCACAGCCAAGGCCGGGUUCUGCCAUGGACUCUGUGGCAGAUAUUCCAAUUCCCACCUCACAUAUCAAGGACAUGUUCUCUCGGCUGCUGACAACACCAGCAAUGGUUCUUAGUUCAGUGUCACAAGAGACUACGCUCAGCUACACAUUGCUGCCUGCAAGAUACUGUGCCAUGUAGAGAAGGUGGCUCUCCCCUGAAAGCCUGGCUCUCUUGUCCCAGUUCAAGACAACUCUACCAUUCAACUCCGCUCCAAAACCUUCACAGGAAAUGAGAGGAAACUGCUCUUCAGGGUCAGGCCAACCUUCCACUUGCCCCAUCCCACCCCAUCAUUUACCUGUGGCUGUGAGUCAACACCCUUGUCACAUCGUUCUGCAGUCUACCCACACUUCAUUUCUCUUUCCAGGCAAACACACCCACAAGGAGUAACAAGGGCUGAGAGAUGAGGCAGAUCCUGCAUCUGGGAUAGCAACCCAAUGCAGGACACGGACCCACCCAUGGUCAUGGGCAGCACCCAGGCAGCAGAAGUGAGGUUGACAUUCUCCUCAAGGGAGGAAAAAAGCACGAGGACAAUGGGCACCUGAAGGGAGCCAUUCCAAAUCAACAUAAAGGCAGAGGGCACACUGCUGUCAUGGGUCAGUAAGUCUAGAAAACAUGGUGAAUGCAUCCCCUUCAGCAGGAUUGCAAGGGAAACCGUGGGUCGGAAGACCAAAGACAAAGACAGCUGCAGAGGGAGUUCCAGAUAUUUGCAAAGGGUUCCCUGGAGUCAUUGACUGCAUAUCGAUCUACACAAGAAAAUUCCUAAUGCCAAGGUUAAAGAAACCUCAGAAGGUAGGGGGAAGGUCCAGAAUAAAUCCCAGAGGUUCUAGAGAACUGGCAAACAUUCUCUGUGGAGCAGACUCAAAAGUUUGCUGUAGGGUCUCCUCCAAUGCCGUAGGAAUGUGCUGGGAAAGAGCCAUAUUCUCAAGAGGCUCCCAGGGCUCUGUCCUCUGGAGUCAGGACUGGGAUACAAGGGAAGGCCACUGCAGAGCUGGCUUCCUGAUGGCAACAGGCAUAAAAAGACUUGAGAAUAACAAAGGCCAGGUGACAACAGUCAACCGUCAAAAAUGAGCUGACGCACCCUUUCAAAUAAGCGGAAGAUCAAAGGCAGAGAGUGGCCUGAGAUGGCCAACAGCUGUUCGUUAGACACUAACAGAGCACAGCACCCACGGAGUGAGAUGUGUGAGUGGCCAUCACAAAGAGCGAGGAGUCAAGACUAGUAGGUCUCAAGGGAGGAGCAAAGGGGACACUUCAAUUGUUCAUAGAGAAGAUGAUGUCAGUUGUCAAAACCUAAGGAGACCCGAGGUCGUACAGAGACCAGAGACACUAUCAAACUAUUCUGUGGUAUUCAACAAUGUCCUCACAAUCAAGGGUUGCUUGGGGGCAGGGGGAAGUGGCUCAGCAAUUAAGAGUAUGGGCUGCUUUUACAGACCACAUGGGCUUGAUUUCCAGCACCAAUAGGCCAACUUACAACCAUUCAUAACUCAAUUUCAAGACAUCUGAAGCUCUUUUUCUGGGCUCUGCGGGCACCAGGCACAUACCCGAUGCACAUGUGUAUUUGCAGAUGCAAUACUCAUAAAAUAAGAAGAGAGAGAGAGAUAAAGGAACAGAAGAAGGACUGUCUGACUCAAAAUGCCAACAGUACCAAGUUGGGGAACAACGAUCUGUAAGAAUAUGCCUACAGAGAUCCCCAGGAAUUUAUACAAGAAACCACAGGUGGGUGUCAAGAGACUGACCAAGCCAUACAAAUAAAAGGUAGACUUCCUGGCUUGGUGUUUUGGGGAACCCCUGACAGCGGGCAUGAGUGUCUCUGACUCUUGCCUGCCCUUGAGACCCCUUUUCUCACUUCACCCAGUCUUGAUGUGAGGGUUUGUGCCCCAUUUGAUGACUUAUUGUAUAUUGUGCUGUGUUUGGUUGAUGUCCCUGAGAAGCCUGCUCUUUUCUGAGGGGAAAUGGAGGCGGGGCUGAGUGGAUCUGUGGGAGAGGGGAAGUAGGGAUGGGGAACUGGGAAGAGCAGAAGCAGUGAUCAGGAUGUGUUGUAUGAGAGAAGAAUAGAGGAAAAAAAUUAAAACUCUUUUCCAAAGAUUUUGUUUCCUCGGUGUGUUGUUAUUAAUAAAUUUGCCUGAGAAAAUUCAUACACACAAAAGAAUAGGUGAGUUUCCUUGUCUGGUUUUCAUGUGGGAUCCAGUUUGAAGACCCUGAGGCAGUAAGUCAAAAGGUCUGCCAUCACAGAGACCACGGCACUUCCUAUCGUUCCUCAAAUGACCAAUGGCCAUAAUUCACUUGAGAAAGGGUAGAUC